rnacentral:rRNA from 1 species
UACGUAGGGUGCAAGCGUUAAUCGGAAUUACUGGGCGUAAAGCGUGCGCAGGCGGUUAUGUAAGACAGGGGGGAAGUCCCCGGGCUCAACCUGGGAAUGGCAUUUGGGACUGCAAGGCUGGAGUACGGCAGAGGAGACUGGAAUUCCUGGUGUAGCAGUGAAAUGCGUAGAUAUCAGGAGGAAUACCGAUGGCGAAGGCAGGUCUCUGGGCUGAUACUGACGCUCAUGCACGAAAGCGUGGGGAGCAAACAGG